rnacentral:rRNA from 1 species
UACAGAGGUCCCGAGCGUUGUUCGGAUUCACUGGGCGUAAAGGGUGCGUAGGCGGUUCUGAAAGUCUGAUGUGAAAUCUCCGGGCCCAACCCGGAAAUGGCAUUAGAAACUACAGGGCUAGAGGCUUGGAGGGGGAACUGGAAUGCUCGGUGUAGCAGUGAAAUGCGUAGAGAUCGAGCGGAACACCAGUGGCGAAGGCGAGUUCCUGGACAAGUCCUGACGCUGAGGCACGAAAGCCAGGGGAGCAAACAGGAUUAGAAACCCCCGUAGUCC